UCCCGGGCCUGGACGGUUAUGGCGUGCUGCGCGCCUUGCGCGCGCGCAAGCAGACGCCGGUGAUCAUGCUCACCGCCCGCGAGC
rnacentral:tRNA from 1 species